rnacentral:rRNA from 1 species
UACGGAGGGAGCUAGCGUUGUUCGGAAUUACUGGGCGUAAAGCGCGCGUAGGUGGCUUUAUAAGUCCGUUGUGAAAGUCAAAGGCUCAACCUUUGAAAGCCGAUGGAUACUGUGAAGCUAGAGUACGGAAGAGGCGAGUGGAAUUCCUGGUGUAGCGGUGGAAUGCGCAGAUAUCAGGAGGAACACCAAUAGCGAAGGCAGCUCGCUGGGACGUUACUGACACUGAGGCGCGAAAGCGUGGGGAGCGAACAGG